UAGUUUGAUGACCACACAGCUGCGGUUCUGUGCAGGAGCAGUUCUUACUGCACAUUUGCAGACCUGGGCAGGAGUAGUUCUUAAUUUUGUUUGAGGCCACGCAAUUUGGGAUCUGGGCAGGAGCAGUGCUUGCUUUAGUUGGAAGGUGGCACAGCUGCAGAUCUGGGCAGAAGCAGUUCUCUAGUUUGAGGCCUGUGCAGCUGUGGACGAGGGCAGGAGCAGUUCUUUAGUUUGAGGGCCCCGCAUUUGUGGAUGAGGGCAGGAACAGUUCUUUAGUUUGAGGGCCGAACAGCUGCGGAUUUGGGCAGCGGCAGUUCUUACUUUACUUUUAGAUCUGCACAGCUGUGGACCUCGGCAGGAGCAGUUCUUUUUGUUGUUUGAGGGCUGCACAGCUGUGGACAUGAGCAGGAGCAGUUCUUACUUUACUUUGGGGCUACACAGCUGUGGACCUUGGCAGGAGCACUUCUUGUAGUUUGAGGACCACACAGCUGUGGACCUGGGCAGGAGCAUUCUUUAGUUUGAGGGUCGCACAGCUGUGGACUGGGUAUCUGGGAAGGAGCAGUUCUUUAGUUUGAGGGCCGCACAGCUGUGGACCUGGGCAGGAGCACUUCU